CCCGCUGAACUUAAGCAUAUCAAUAAGCGGAGGAAAAGAAACCAACAGGGAUUGCCUCAGUAACGGCGAGUGAAGUGGCAACAGCUCAAAUUUGAAAUCUGGUCCCUUUCGGGGCUCGAGUUGUAAUUUGUAGAGGAUGCCUUCGGGUUUGGCCCUGGCCUAAGUUCCUUGGAACAGGACGUCACAGAGGGUGAGAAUCCCGUAUGUGGCUGGUGGUCUAUGCCCAUGUGAAGCUCCCUCGACGAGUCGAGUUGUUUGGGAAUGCAGCUCAAAAUGGGUGGUAAGUUUCAUCUAAAGCUAAAUACUGGCGGGAGACCGAUAGCGCACAAGUAGAGUGAUCGAAAGAUGAAAAGCACUUUGGAAAGAGAGUUAAAAAGUACGUGAAAUUGUUGAAAGGGAAGCGCUUGAAGUCAGUCGCGUCGUCCGAGACUCAGCCUCGCCUCGGCUUGGUGUACUUCUCGGCCCGACGGGUCAGCAUCAAUUUCGCCUCUCGGAUAAUGGCGAGGGAAAAGUGACACCUUUACGGUGUGUUAUAGUCCCUCGUCGCAUGCGAGGGUCGGGAUUGAGGAACUCAGCACGCGCCCUCGGGCGUCGGGGUUUUCGCCCACGAUACGUGCUUAGGAUGUUGGCGUAAUGGCUUUAAACGACCCGUCUUGAAACACGG
rnacentral:rRNA from 1 species